rnacentral:rRNA from 1 species
AGUGAACGCUGGCGGUAUGCCUAACACAUGCAAGUCGAACGGCAGCACAGUAAGAGCCUGCGCUAACGGGUGGCGAGUGGCGGACGGGUGAGGAAGACAUCGGAAUCUGCUUUUUCGGGGGGGACAACGUAGGGGGACUUACGCUAAUACCGCAUACUACCUACGGGGGAAAGCAGGAGAGCUUCUGACGUUUGGCGUUUGAAUGAGCCGAUGUCGGAUUAGGUAGGUGGCGGGGUAAAGGCCCACUAAGGCGAGUAGCCGUAGCGGGUCUGAGAGGAUGAUAAGCCACCUUGGAACUGAUACACGGUCCAGACUCCUAAGGGAGGCAGCAGUGGGCAACAUUGGACAAUGGUGGCGAGUCUGAUACAGCCAUACCGAGUCGGUGACGGAGGCCUUCGGGUUGUAAAGCCGUUUUUUUGGGAAAGAAAAGCAGCAGGUUAAGACCACGCUGUUCUGACGGUACCUAAAGAAUAAGCACCGGCUAACUUCGUG